rnacentral:lncRNA from 1 species
CAUAAAGGCAGUUCUUCUAAAACAAAUUUGAAGUGCAGUAGUCAGGACAUUGGCAUCCUAAAUAAUGGAAAAUACAUAUGGGAAACAAAGCUUAAAUCUAAAAGUGAACAAAUUGAGACAAAACCAGAAAUAACGACUAGCUUGCACAGUUCUGAAAGAAGCCAUGAAACCACUAUUGAAAGCAGAACUAAUAAAGGGGGGAAAAGACCAGAUCAGAAGGAGACGUAUAUGUUUCUAGGCUGUGAAAGCCCUGCAGCUUCCUCAGAAAAAGAGAAUAAUGUCAUAAGAGGUAGUGUUAAAAAACACAUUAGUUUGUUUACUUCAGAAAAUCCCAGUACCUCAAUGGAUACAGAGCUUCUCCCAUCAGCUGCUGAGAAGGAAAACAGAUGUGUUAACAUCCAACAGAGAAUCAAAGAACUGACAACAGAAAAUACUGAUGUUAAGCCAGGAAAUCUACGCAGGUCACUUCAAUCACGACCACUUUCUGCGGACUUAACAAAGAUGUUUUCAAGUCCGACGUCAAGCAGUGAAGCAAAGCCCGAGAAACCUGCUGAAACUAGAAACGACUCUAUCAAUGAAAUGCAAGAAAAUCAAAAAAGUAAGGAGAUCAAGCUUGCAUAUGGCACAGAUUUCACUGAAGCACAUGCUAC